rnacentral:rRNA from 1 species
GAUGAACGCUGGCGGCGUGCCUAAUACAUGCAAGUAGAACGCUGAAGGAAGGAGCUUGCUCUUUCCGGAUGAGUUGCGAACGGGUGAGUAACGCGUAGGUAACCUGCCUGGUAGCGGGGGAUAACUAUUGGAAACGAUAGCUAAUACCGCAUAACAGUAGAUGUUGCAUGAUAUCUACUUAAAAGGUGCAAUUGCACCACUACCAGAUGGACCUGCGUUGUAUUAGCUAGUUGGUGAGGUAACGGCUCACCAAGGCGACGAUACAUAGCCGACCUGAGAGGGUGAUCGGCCACGCUGGGACUGAGACACGGCCCAGACUCCUACGGGAGGCAGCAGUAGGGAAUCUUCGGCAAUGGACGGAAGUCUGACCGAGCAACGCCGCGUGAGUGAAGAAGGUUUUCGGAUCGUAAAGCUCUGUUGUAAGAGAAGAACGAGUGUGAGAGUGGAAAGUUCACACUGUGACGGUAUCUUACCAGAAAGGGACGGCUAACUACGUG